ACUCAAAUUAGCUGUGCAUUGUGGUUAUUUUAUAGUGGACUAGUGAAUGAAAUUAACCGUGGAGAAUUCAAACACCACUACAAAAUGGCAAUCACACUAUAUAGUGCACGAAUUCCGUGAGAGG